rnacentral:rRNA from 1 species
CACGUAGGGCGCAAGCGUUGUCCGGAAUUAUUGGGCGUAAAGAGCUCGUAGGCGGUCUGUUGCGUCCGCUGUGAAAACCCGCGGCUUAACCGCGGGCUUGCAGUUGAUACGGGCAGGCUAGAGUUCGGUAGGGGAGACUGGAAUUCCUGGUGUAGCGGUGAAAUGCGCAGAUAUCAGGAGGAACACCGGUGGCGAAGGCGGGUCUCUGGGCCGAUACUGACGCUGAGGAGCGAAAGCGUGGGGAGCGAACAGG